rnacentral:tRNA from 1 species
ACUUUUAAAGGAUGGGAGUUAUCCGUUGGUCUUAGGAGCCCAAAAAU